rnacentral:rRNA from 1 species
UUCGUAGGCGGUGUGGCAAGUUGGGAGUGAAAUCUCUGGGCUCAACCCAGAGGCUGCUUCCAAAACUGCUGUGCUUGAGUGUGAGAGAGGCUCGUGGAAUUGCAGGUGUAGCGGUGAAAUGCGUAGAUAUCUGCAGGAACACCCGUGGCGAAAGCGGCGAGCUGGAUCACUACUGACGCUGAGGAACGAAAGCUAGGGGAGCAAACAGGGUUAGAUACCCUGGUAGUCCUAGCCCUAAACGAUCAGGACUUGGGGUGCCGCCCGUUCGGGCGUCGUCCCGGAGCUAACGCGUUAAGUCCUGCACCUGGGGAGUACGGUCGCAAGACUGAA